CUUAUUCUCACCAUCAUUUUAUUUCUGCAUUGCCAUACACCUUUCUUUCUGAUUAAAAUUAAUCCCAUCCAGUUUGCACUGUUGAGUUUAUAAAAUGGGAGACUGGAAAUAUCUGUUCAGUCACACACUGAUUCAAUCAUACAUUCAUUCAACAUACAAUAAUUGAGCACCUACAAUAGAAUACCAUAUUGGGUCCUAUAGAAGAGACGGAUAAAAGGGAGGGGGUCCAUGCCUUCAGAAACUUAAAAUCCAGCUGGAUGUGCAACACUUAACACACACGAAACAAAGCAUCCUCAAAUGCACAAUUCUCAUCAGAGGAACAGCAAAUUAGAGCAGAAAGCUAAAGCUUUGCCAUGCACACCAAUGCUGCUAUAUCAGCAGAAUGAGCAGGAGGGGGAGAAAAGCCACUGUGGUUAAAAGAAACUGCUGGCCUAUGGAUUUUUUUAAAUUACAAUUUGCAUGCUCUUCUAACAGUGUUAGUUCUGCUUAGGUGGCAGAGUGGCUUUCCUGAAAGUAUGAGCUCAGCCUUGUCUUAUGCCUGUUUAAAGAAAGAGGUCAGGUAAAGUGAUUGUAGUAAUAGCACCAAGCUGGUUGAAAACCACAGUAUCUCUCAGAUGGCACCAAAAACACCCACACGAUGGAAAAUUUUUGCCUGCUAAAAGCCGCUUGAAGUUGUUUCAGAAACACAUAUGAGCAGUAUUUGCUCUUCUCCUUGGGAGUGUUCUCGAGGAAAACAGCUUUCCAAACUUAACAUGUUAAGGUAGUAGAACAGUCUAGUGGCCUGAGUGAAUUUUGGAUUGAGCAGCAAGUGGGCCUUGAGUAUUCAGGUAGCAAGUGGUCAAGGAGAAUUUGGAGCUGGUCAGUGCCUGGCUAAACUGCAUGUGCCUUGAAGAGAAGUCCUUCAGAUCCACCUGUGUCUACACAAAUUCAUGAGUGACUGGUGCCGUGAAUUCAGUCCCACUAACGCACCAGCUGUGCUUUUUGGUAGUUGUUUCCUUUUCUUGGCAAUUUGGUUUUAGGUUGUGUCAAAAGGGGAAGACACAGAACUGAGACAAGGCAAAAUUAUAAGACAUGUAUCUUAUUUUUUAGCUUCUCUAUAUCACUAUAUUUGAGGUGAAGGAUUUAAUCCUUAUAUAGCUCUUCCAAAUCUCUUCAUACAGUACCACAAUUUAUAACUGAACUCUAUACUGAAUAAUCAUUUAAAGCAUUUUAAACUACCUUGGAAGAGAAAUGAGUAAUGACUCAAUAUAUUUGCAAAAACCCAUACUGUAUCUAUUGUAGGAUGUCUACAUAAAAACUGAAUAACCCCAUCAGUGUUCAUUUGACAUCAAAGUGGACCUAGGGGCAGAAAACAAAAGGACUCUCAUCUUAAGGGCUGAUAAAUGUAGUCUAUGUGUGGUAUUGAUAAUUUUUUUAAUUCACAGAUCAAAUAUAUUUUAAUGUACACAUGGAAGAAUUUAACUAUGAAGUUCAUGAAGAAUGGCAAGUAUUAACAUACUGAAAGAUGGUAUUCAUGUGCAGGAGAAAGAUAAUCAUCUGUUUCUCAAUGAUGGCAACAUGCAAUAAAUGACUUCCUUCCGUAGAACCUCCAAAUUAGAGUAAUUCGUGUAUUUCCCGUUUCACAUUCUAGGAAAUCAUGACAUGCAAAAAACAUUACUUGAUGCCCAGCAUGAAGCUCACUCACAGACACCCUGAAAAUAGUCACUGAUCGCACUGGAGCAAAAAAACAGCUUUCAGCCUGAGGAAGAUCACAUUGAGAGAAGUUGAAAGCAUUUUGAAGAAAAACUCAGAUUGGACACAGAUUAGUCAAGUUGGUCUGAAAGUAUCCCCUUGUCUUAGUCUGUUCCUGCUGCUGUAACAAAAUACCACAGACUGGGUAAUUCGUAAAGAACAGAAACUUACUCUCAUAGUCCUGGAGGCUGGGAAGUUCGAGAUCAAGGUGCCAACAUAUUCAGUGUCUGCUGAAGGUCCAGUCUCCACUUCCACAAUGGCGCCUUGUUGCUGCAUCCUCCAGAGUGGACAAACACUGUGUCCUCACAUAACGGAAUGGAUAGGAGGCAAAAGGGCCUAAGCUAGUACCUUCCACCCCUUUUAUAAGGCAUGAAUCUAUAUCUUGAUGGGGAAGCCCUCAUGACUUUAUCACAUCUCACAUCCAAAAACCCUGAGUCUUAAUACAACCAUAAUCUGAAUUAUGUUUCAAGAUGAAUUUUGGAAGGGUAACAUUCAAACCAUAGCACUUCCCAGAAGAUAACUUCUUUAAACAAACAUACAAAGCACACAGCAUCUCUCAGCGUGAACAACACGUGUUAUGAUGAAAGGGUGUUUCUUUCUUUCUUUCUUUUUCUUUCUUUCUUUCUUUCUUUCUUUCUUUCUCUCUCUCUCUCUUCUUUUCUUCUUUCCUUCCUUCCUUCCUUCCUUCCUUCCUUCCUUCCUUCCUUCCUUCCUUCCUUCUUUCUUUCUUUCUUUCUUUCAGACAGGGCCUCCCUCUGUCAUCCAGGCUAGAGUGCAGUGGCAUGAUCAUGGAUCACUGCAACCUCCACCUCCCAGGCUCAAGCAAUCCUCCCGCCCCAGCCUCCCAAGUAGCUGGGACCACAGGCAUGCACCACUGUGGCUGGCUACCUUUUUUUUUUUUUUUUUUGUAGAGACAGGAUCUCGCUAUGUUGCCCAGGAUGGUCUUGAACCCCUGGGCUCAAGUGAUCCCCCCACCUCAGCCUCCCAAAAUGCUGGGAUUACAGGCACUGCACCUGGCCAAAAGGGUGUAUUUUCUAAAAAGAAUUUUUGAAGGUGUUUCUUCCAUCUCUGCUUCUGUCUCACCUGCUGGCCCUUGGAUUGGGGAUCUACGUCAGGGAAAGCGUCUGACGACAUCAAUCAGUACCUUCAGAUGAAGAAUUGAAAUCUGACUUGGUUCACACAGUGGAGGCUAUCUACUGAAAACUGCACCUAACUCUGCUUUUUAUUAUUUUUUAAGCAGAAACUAGGAAACCAAGGUACAACUCCACAGUCGAAUUUAUGCACUAAAAUGUGUUUGCUGAUUUGUGUGCUCUUAGAAUCAGCUUUCUUUUACGCAAGGCUGUGUCUGUCAAGAGACUGGAAAUAGAAAAAAAUAAAUCUUUGCUAAAUUCUUCAGAGAUUACAAUAUUUGCAUAUAGUUUAAAACAAAACCUUAUAAAAGGCUUUUUGAUUAAACCAGAAAAAAAAAGUUGUUUACUUAAAAAUAAACACUUGCACUUCCCCAGUGUUACUAGGCCCCUUGCAGGCUUGGUUUGAGUGGCUAGAGCUGGAGCCAGUUGCAGCAGUAAAAGUGACCCAUAUUUUUUGACUUUUCUUUUUUUUUUUUUGAGACGGAGUCUCGCUCUGUCGC
rnacentral:lncRNA from 1 species